rnacentral:tRNA from 1 species
GGACCCGUAGCCUAGACUGGAUACCUAUAAUUCUCUCCAAAAGAGAGAAUUAGGCGUGAGCCAAAUAGGGCGACAGCCUCCUAAGCUGUAGGUCGGGGGUUCAAAUCCUCCCGGGUCCG